GCCUUUGUUAACACCUCAUCUCCUAGACUUUCUUCAUGCUUUAUCUCUUGAUCUUGGUGGCUCUCUUUAGUUCCUUCUUCACCAAGAGUUAUUUCCUCACAAUUCUUGGCAUCAUUCUCUUCGAUGAUCUGUUCAUGUGUGACUUCAUUAUGUAUGUUCUCAGCUGCAUCGGUUGUUUUUUCACUUUGAUUUUCUUUGACCAUUAAAUCCAAAGUUGUUGCCUCUAAAUGCUUUUCCUUGAUUUCAGUUUCUUCUGAUUCAUUGAGUACUUCGCGACCAUGAACUUCUAAUAUAGAUUCAGAACCCUCUUCACUUAGCUCAGUCUUGAGAGUGGAGGUUUUCUCAGACAGCCCUGUUAUUUCU
rnacentral:misc_RNA from 1 species